AUUGAACGCUGGCGGCAUGCCUUACACAUGCAAGUCGAACGGCAGCACGGGAGCAAUCCUGGUGGCGAGCGGCGAACGGGUGAGUAAUAUAUCGGAACGUGCCCAGUCGUGGGGGAUAACGUAGCGAAAGCUACGCUAAUACCGCAUACGAUCUAUGGAUGAAAGCGGGGGAUCGCAAGACCUCGCGCGAUUGGAGCGGCCGAUAUCAGAUUAGGUAGUUGGUGAGGUAAAGGCUCACCAAGCCGACGAUCUGUAGCUGGUCUGAGAGGACGACCAGCCACACUGGGACUGAGACACGGCCCAGACUCCUACGGGAGGCAGCAGUGGGGAAUUUUGGACAAUGGGCGCAAGCCUGAUCCAGCAAUGCCGCGUGCAGGAUGAAGGCCUCGGUUGUAAC
rnacentral:rRNA from 1 species